AGCAGCCGCGGUAAUUCCAGCUCCAAUAGCGUAUAUUAAAGUUGCUGCAGUUAAAAGCUCGUAGUUGAAUUUCGGGACUAUCAUGUCGGUCGUGCCUCGGUACGUACUGGCAUUGUUGGUUUCUACCUUCUGACGAACCAUGAUGUCAUUUAUUUGGUGUCGUGGGGAAUCAGGACUGUUACUUUGAAAAAUUAGAGUGUUUAAAGCAGGCUCACGCUUGAAUACAUUAGCAUGGAAUAAUGAAAUAGGACGUUUGAUUCUAUUUUGUUGGUUUCUAGGAUCGACGUAGUGAUUAAUAGGGAUAGUUGGGGGCAUUAGUAUUCAAUUGUCAGAGGUGAAAUUCUUGGAUUUAUUGAAGACUAACUACUGCGAAAGCAUUUGCCAAGGAUGUUUUCAUUAAUCAAGAAUGAAAGUUAAGGGAUCAAAGACGAUUAAGUACAUCGUAGUCCUAACCAUAAACUAUGCCAACUAGGAAUCAGACGAUGUUAAUUUUUUAAUGACUCAUUCGGCGCCUUACGGGAAACCAAAGUGUUUGGG
rnacentral:rRNA from 1 species